GUGCCAGCCGCCGCGGUAAUACCGGCAGCUCGAGUGAUGGCCGAUCUUAUUGGGCCUAAAGCGUUCGUAGCCGGCCACGCAAGUCCAUCGGGAAAUCCGUCAGCCCAACUGACGGGCGUCCGACGGAAACUGCACAGCUUGGGACCGGAAGGCUCGAAGGGUACGUUCGGGGUAGGAGUGAAAUCCCAUAAUCCCGCACGGACCACCGAUGGCGAAAGCACUUCGAGAAAACGGAUCCGACAGUGAGGGACGAAAGCCAGGGUCUCCAACCGGAUUAGAUACCCGAGUAGUCC
rnacentral:rRNA from 1 species